UAUCGUUUAUUUGAUAGUACCUUACUACUUGGAUACCCGUGGUAAUUCUAGAGCUAAUACAUGCAAAAAACCCCGACUUCUGAAGGGGUGUAUUUAUUAGAUAAAAAACCAAUGCCCUUCGGGGCUCUUUGGUGAUUCAUGAUAACUCAACGGAUCGCAUGGCCUUGCGCCGGCGACGGUUCAUUCAAAUUUCUGCCCUAUCAACUUUCGAUGGUAAGGUAUUGGCUUACCAUGGUUUCAACGGGUAACGGAUUUUUAGGGAAAGAUCCCGGAGAGGGAGCCUGAGAAACGGCUACCACAUCCAAGGAAGGCAGCAGGCGCGCAAAUUACCCAAUCCUGAUACAGGGAGGUAGUGACAAUAAAUACUGAUACAGGGCUCUUUUGGGUCUUGUAAUCGGAAUGAGUACAAUUUAAAUACCUUAACGAGGAACAAUUGGAGGGCAAGUCUGGUGCCAGCAGCCGCGGUAAUUCCAGCUCCAAUAGCGUAUAUUAAAGUUGUUGCAGUUAAAAAGCUCGUAGUUGAACCUUGGGCCUGGCUGGCCGGUCCGCCUCACCGCGUGUACUGGUCCGGCCGGGCCUUUCCUUCUGGAGAACCGCAUGCCCUUCACUGGGUGUGCCGGGGAANCAGGACUUUUACUUUGAGAAAAUUAGAGUGUUCAAAGCAGGCCUUUGCUCGAAUACGUUAGCAUGGAAUAAUAGAAUAGGACGUGCGGUCCUAUUUUGNUGGUUUCUAGAACCGCCGUAAUGAUUAAUAGGGAUAGUCGGGGGCGUCAGUAUUCAAUUGUCAGAGGUGAAAUUCUUGGAUCUNUUGAAGACUAACUACUGCGAAAGCAUUCGCCAAGGAUGUUUUCAUUAAUCAGUGAACGAAAGUUAGGGGAUCGAAGACGAUCAGAUACCGUCGUA
rnacentral:rRNA from 1 species